rnacentral:pre_miRNA from 1 species
GUGGGCCUGAUCCAAAGCCCAUUGAAGUCAAUGGAAAGAUUCACAUUGACUUCAUUGGGCUUUGGAUCUGGCCCAAAAUAC